GCAUCGGAUCUCGCGGUAUCAUCCGGUAGGGGAGAACCUUUAACAAAGGUCUAGUGAAGUUUGUCCGACAGGUCCAAGAACCAGCAUUUUACACUCCUCCACCCCCACCCCCAACUUAUCCUUACUUUCUCUUUCCAAAUCGCAAAAUUCUCCCCUCCUCUCCCCAGCUCGCUGCCCUCUUCUUGGUUCUGAGUUCAGAACGGAACCGGAAGUGUGGUGGGCGGAGCCCGGCAGCGGAAAACCCUGCGGAGCUGGAGCCGGGACGCUUCUGUGGCUGCUGUCCCGUCCAUCGCCACGGUUCGUCGGGUGUCUGGCCUGCACGGCUCCAGGCUGAAGGUCGGCCCGAAGGCGGGUGAGCGCGGGUCUCACCCGGAUUGUCUGGGCGGCACUGUCCCCGGGCCCCCCGGGCGCCGCGAGGGAUCAUGUCUACAGCCUCCGCCGCCUCCUCCUCCUCCUCGUCUUCGGCCAGUGAGAUGAUGGAAGCCCCUUCCCAGGUCCUUAACUUUGAAGAAAUCGAUUACAAGGAGAUCGAGGUGGAAGAGGUUGUUGGAAGAGGAGCCUUUGGAGUUGUUUGCAAAGCAAAGUGGAGAGCGAAAGAUGUUGCUAUUAAGCAAAUAGAAAGUGAAUCUGAGAGGAAAGCUUUUAUUGUAGAGCUUCGACAGUUAUCCCGUGUGAACCAUCCUAAUAUUGUAAAGUUGUAUGGAGCCUGCUUGAAUCCAGUGUGUCUUGUGAUGGAAUAUGCUGAAGGUGGCUCUUUAUAUAAUGUGCUGCACGGUGCCGAACCAUUGCCAUACUACACUGCUGCCCACGCAAUGAGUUGGUGUUUACAGUGUUCCCAAGGAGUGGCUUAUCUACACAGCAUGCAACCCAAAGCUCUAAUUCACAGGGACCUGAAACCACCAAAUCUGCUGCUCGUUGCAGGGGGGACAGUUCUAAAGAUCUGUGAUUUUGGUACAGCCUGUGACAUUCAGACACAUAUGACCAAUAACAAGGGGAGUGCUGCUUGGAUGGCACCUGAAGUUUUUGAAGGUAGCAAUUACAGUGAAAAAUGUGAUGUCUUCAGCUGGGGUAUUAUCCUUUGGGAAGUAAUAACACGUCGGAAACCUUUUGAUGAGAUUGGUGGCCCAGCUUUCCGAAUCAUGUGGGCUGUUCAUAAUGGUACUAGACCACCACUGAUCAAAAAUUUACCUAAGCCCAUUGAGAGCCUGAUGACUCGUUGUUGGUCUAAAGAUCCUUCUCAGCGACCUUCAAUGGAGGAAAUUGUGAAAAUAAUGACUCACUUGAUGCGGUAUUUUCCAGGAGCAGAUGAGCCAUUACAAUAUCCUUGUCAGUAUUCAGAUGAAGGACAGAGCAACUCUGCCACCAGUACAGGCUCAUUCAUGGACAUUGCCUCUACAAACACCAGUAAUAAAAGUGACACUAAUAUGGAGCAAGUUUCUGCUACAAAUGAUACUAUUAAACGCUUAGAAUCAAAAUUGUUAAAAAAUCAGGCAAAGCAACAGAGUGAAUCUGGCCGUCUAAGCCUGGGGGCCUCCCGUGGCAGCAGUGUGGAGAGCCUGCCCCCAACCUCUGAGGGCAAGAGAAUGAGUGCAGACAUGUCUGAAAUAGAAGCCAGGAUCGCGGCGACCACAGCCUAUUCCAAGCCUAAACGGGGCCACCGUAAAACCGCUUCAUUUGGCAACAUUCUGGAUGUCCCUGAGAUCGUCAUACCAGGCAACGGGCAACCAAGACGUAGAUCUGUCCAAGACUUGACUGUUACUGGAACAGAACCUGGUCAGGUGAGCAGUAGGUCAUCCAGUCCUAGUGUCAGAAUGAUCACUACCUCAGGACCAACCUCAGAAAAGCCAACUCGAAGUCAUCCAUGGACUCCUGAUGAUUCCACAGAUACCAAUGGAUCAGAUAACUCUAUCCCUAUGGCGUAUCUUACACUGGAUCACCAACUACAGCCUCUAGCACCAUGCCCAAACUCCAAAGAGUCCAUGGCGGUGUUUGAACAGCAUUGUAAAAUGGCACAAGAAUAUAUGAAAGUUCAAACAGAAAUUGCAUUGUUAUUACAGCGAAAGCAAGAACUAGUUGCAGAAUUGGACCAGGAUGAAAAGGACCAGCAAAAUACAUCUCGUCUGGUACAGGAACAUAAAAAGCUUUUAGAUGAAAACAAAAGCCUUUCUACUUACUACCAGCAAUGCAAAAAACAGCUAGAUGUCAUCAGAAGUCAACAGCAAAAACGGCAAGGCACUUCAUGAAUCUCUGGGACCGUCACAUUUUAGAAAACAUGAAGAAAGACUUUUUUUUUAAGAAAAGAAAAAACCUUUAUGACAACUCAUGAGUGUUAGCUUUUUUGGCGUGUUUUGAAUGCCAGCUGCCUGUUUUUGCUGCCUUUGUUCCGUCAUUUAUUUUCUCAUGGUGGAUCUGCAGUUCCACUGUCUCGUUGCAUAUGAUGGGAUCGGUGGUUUGGAUGAGCAGCACUCCUCAACUUCAAAACGUGCAGUGGACUAUGGCUGUAAAUGCAUGCUCAUUGUGUGAAGGCUAGCCUAACAGAACACGGGGUAUCAAACUAGCUGCUAUGUGCAAACGUCAUCUUUUUCCCAUUCUAGAGGUGGAACCUCAAAAUGAUUUUGUUCUUAUAUCUCAUCUCAAAAAAACUAAUAUUUUUUCCAAAAGAUGGUAUAUACCAAGUUAAAGACAGGGUUUUAUAAAUCUAGAAUAAUUGGUGGUAUAUUACAGGCACACAGAAUCUUUAGUGUUAGUUCAAAGUGAGGGCUUGAUGCCAGCACAUCCUUGGAUCAGUACUGAACUUAGUUCCGUCUGUAAAAUAUUUAAAGAUAAGGAAGUUGAUCUAAGAAGUUACCAAAAACUAUUCUUAAAAAUGCUAAAGCAGGUAACUUUUUCUUCCAUUAUAUUUUUCCUCCCAUUGAGUUUUAUAAUGAACUCCCUUGUGUAUACAAGCAAUAAAGGUAAAGGACAGUUUGUAAUAAACCGUGUCAUUUUCAGCUUCUUCAAAAGCUUACCGGAAUUAUCUUCUAUCACUUUAUUUAAAUCAGAGGAGAGUUUUGAUUUCCAAAAAAUAUUAUUACCUAGCUGAGAUUAUUAUUGGGCACACAGCAUUUGAUGUUCAGGGAUGAAUGGUAAGGGUUUAUUGUUCCAUUAAGGUUUAGCAUUAGAGAUUUCACAUUUUAUUUGUGGACAUUCAUGUGCUUUUAGCAUACUUAAAGGAAAAUAUAUUAUUAUUUUCAUUUUUAUUAUAUGCAGGUACUUCCUAAAAACAGCCAAAUAAGUAAAUGGAAGGAAAUCAUAGAUUUAGUCAUAGUACCAAGUGCAGAAGAUUGAACAUUUGCUUGUUUAUUCACAGUAAAUUCCUUGAGAUUUUCUGUUCUGCCUGAAUAGUAAGCCAAUUUCUAUCUUACUCUCUUUUUAGUAGUUGCAUUGCCAGUCUCACCCCAUUUUUUUUUUAAAGUUCUGAUUAUCCGCUAAAGAUGGAUACCUAAACAGAUACCAUGGAUAAUUAAAACCUUAAUAGUUUUCAUCAAUGUCUUCAUUCAUUAAAGCUUCAAACAGAUAUUAACAGGGAGCUAACCCUUUAAUAAUUCUGGAUUUUCAAUUUAAUCUAACUUUUUUUCUGGGAAGGUAGAAAUAACAAACAGACAAACAAGUUACUAAAACGUCCUAGUCUAAGAAAUUCACAAACAAUCCCUUAACAAAUAUUAAUUAUGUUUUAUUCUUGCCUCCAUGGAAAGAAAGCAAAGCUUUUCUGUCCUCUAGAGGAAAGUAUUCUGUAACAGUAAAAAUGGCUUUUGGGAAUUAGAAUUAAAUCAGUUAAUAUUCACCUUAUAACAACACAGCAAAAUGAAAAAGGUUUUUGGUUUGUUUUGGGAGGGGUUGUUUUUGUUUCGGGGGUCUUUUUGUGGCUUAAAGACAUUGAAUGUCUUUUUUUUCUUCAGGUUUGUUUCAUGUUGGUAAUUUCAUCUCCUGUCAAUAGCCAGAGCUCACAGGUCUUCCCUAUGAAAUUUGUUUCAUUUCUGUAACUGUGAUUUUCAGCAUUCAACUCUUCUCUUCAAGUGGUAGUAGGUUCUGAUGUCAUUUAGAACAUUUUAUGUAAAAUAAUGUAAUGGAAAAAUUCUUGUAUAUACUGUGUAAAGGAAGCUUUUUAGAUUUUUUUAAAAUAAAACUCAGAUUGUUGUUCUAAACGGGUACAUAAAAAUGGUUAAAUGGCUUAUAUUGGCAAGUGAGCUAUGAUGUGUUCGCGGUAGCAGUGUGUUUAUCUAACACAGAACUUAAUAAAACCUGAAAUGUCAGUAUUCUUAUAAUAAUCACACCAUGUAUUAUAACCAUGAUUUUUGAGAAGGUGGAGCAGCCAGUUUACAGCAUACCUUUACCAUUUGAAAAUUUCAGGUUAAAUGAAUGCUCUUCGCUGUUUCAUCAGUCUUAAUAUAUAUGACGCAUAACCCAACAUACAGAUGAUUCUUCCCACAAGAAAUCUGGUUUAUUAUAGUUUCCUAAGUUAGAUUUCUUUUAUCAACUAACUUCUCAACCGGAAGGUGUGCACCCAUUUUUAUAAACCCAACCUUCAUUUUUGUAAAUUCACCCCAUUUGCUCAUUUUUUAAGUAUAUAUUGAUAACCUUUUACAAGCUGAGCUACUGCUGCUAAUGCCAAAUUACAUGCCUACAUCCAUUACACAGUAGUCGGAUGAGGUGGAGAAAUAAACUCUAGAAUUUUGAUGGUACCUGGGUCUGCUUUGCCAUCGACAUAAUCUCUUUUAGCAGAAUCUCAUAUGAUUUAAUCUCAUAUAUGAUUUAAUCAUAUGUAUAACUCCCUUGCGUUUUUGUUGGAGUGUUUGAUCUCUAUAUGUUAGGCGUUAGGAAUGGAAAUGGACAUGGCAAGUAGCGUAUCGAUAGGUCCCUGAAGGUUUAUCGCACUGAUUCUUUAUUGGCUUGACUCCUUUCAAAGUUUUCUAUUGCACUGUUAAAUUGCAGCUGCUUCCAAUUGACUUACCAUCCUGGGAAAUUUGAGAAAUGCUUUCAGUGACGCUGCUAGCAAUCUUCUUCACAGUAUUUCACGUGGUGUCUCACCUAGGUCCGUCACUGGUACUCUGUGCACUGUGCCGUGGUACACAAAACGAUACCUAGGUUUGCUGUAGCAAAUCGUGCAGUGCUCGCCACCUUGGCACUUCUUUCCAUCAGUGACCAGCCACCGCCAGGCGCCAUGCAGCCCCACCCAGCAGAACGAGUGGAUGUCUUCGUAGUUAUUACAGGAAUGACUCAUGGAUUGAUUCUUUCACAAAAUCAAAUUGUACUAAAGAAGCCUGAAAAUAUACUUGAGACCUUCUUUUGUGAUUGAAGAAUAAGUGGGUGAUACUCUCUCAUCACACACUCUAGAACACUUGGCUUCUAAUCAGUUUCCUACUAAAUACCCAUAUAAAAUA